GGAUGAUUAGCUCAGCUGGCAGAGCACCUGACUCUUAAUCAGGGUGUCCAGGGUUCGAACCCCUGAUCAUCCACCA
rnacentral:tRNA from 1 species